CAGUAGCCGCGGUAAUACGUAGGUGGCAAGCGUUGUCCGGAAUUAUUGGGCGUAAAGGGCUCGCAGGCGGUUUCUUAAGUCUGUUGUGAAAGCCCCGGGCUCAACCUGGGAAUGGCAAUGGAUACUGGCGAGCUAGAGUGUGUCAGAGGAUGGUGGAAUUCCCGGUGUAGCGGUGAAAUGCGUAGAGAUCGGGAGGAACAUCAGUGGCGAAGGCGGCCAUCUGGGACAACACUGACGCUGAGGCACGAAAGCGUGGGGAGCAAACAGGAUUAGAUACCCCCGUAGUCCCUGUCUCUUAUAC
rnacentral:rRNA from 1 species